rnacentral:rRNA from 1 species
UACGUAGGGGGCGAGCGUUGUCCGGAUUUAUUGGGCGUAAAGAGCCCGUAGGCGGUUUGGUAAGUCGGGUGUGAAAUCUCCACGCUCAACGUGGAGGGGCCACUCGAUACUGCCAUGACUCGAGUCCGGUAGAGGAGUGUGGAAUUCCCGGUGUAGCGGUGAAAUGCGCAGAUAUCGGGAGGAACACCAAUUGCGAAGGCAGCUCGCUGGGACGUCACUGACGCUGAGACGCGAAAGCGUGGGGAGCAAACAGG